UACGUAGGGCGCAAGCGUUGUCCGGAAUUAUUGGGCGUAAAGAGCUCGUAGGCGGUUUGUCACGUCGGGUGUGAAAGCCCGGGGCUUAACCCCGGGUCUGCAUUCGAUACGGGCAGACUAGAGUGUGGUAGGGGAGAUCGGAAUUCCUGGUGUAGCGGUGAAAUGCGCAGAUAUCAGGAGGAACACCGGUGGCGAAGGCGGAUCUCUGGGCAACAACUGACGCUGAGGAGCGAAAGCGUGGGGAGCGAACAGG
rnacentral:rRNA from 1 species